CUAAUGCAAGUUUCAAUUUUUGAGUCAUAUACAUGCCACGAAAUUCAUGAGGUGACAAAUGACUGUCAAAGCUGCCAGGGCGGUAAGGAACAGUUUGGCACAAACUAUCUGUGGAUCAGGGUCUUAAUAAGUUGGAUAAAGCAGCCCUUACAAGUAUUCACCUUACAUAUGGCACAACAUGAGGAUAGAGCAUGAGAUACUUUUCCAUUCAGUGUGGUAGAUCCAUCAAGCCACACUGUUUUAUCAGUUUCACUUCAGCUGCUCUGAAUUAAACUUGUUAGGGUGCACACGGUGAAUGCACAUGUGAUGACAAAGUCUUAUUAGUAUCCUGACAUUUGUGGGAAUGGGUAGAAUGAAAUCUUUUACUUUAGAAAUAGAAGAUUUUAAAAAAUCAUAUUGAUUCUCAAGUGUCUGCUUCGAAAAAUUAAUAUGGUUCACAUGGUCCUCCCUGCAUUUACCUUACACCAAAGGUGCUACUUUUGUUCUCAAGUACUUAAAGUUUUCCUUUUUGAUUUUUAGAGUACAUUUUUGUUGGAAUGAUGCCUUUUUCUGUUGAUAGGCUCAAUUGUACCAUAAAUAUAUCUAUUUUUGAGGCCUUUUUUUCCAAAAAAAAAAAAAAAAACUAUAUUCUAGAGUCUAUCUUUUUAGUCUCAAUCUUAGAAGCCAUUGCCUUCAUUCCAGGAUAUUUGCAUGUACCAUAGCGUGAUCACUCACGGAGAAUUUUGAAUUUAUUAGCUAAGCAACAGAAAGCAUAUGUCUCCGUUACCGAAGCAUAGUUCACCUGUAGGAUAGUUGUGUAAGCAUAACUAUUCUUGGAGAAAUUUGGCUGUGUGAGACUUCUGACAUUGUUAGGUACUCAAAAUAAAAUACAUCUUUUUUCUUUUCUCUGUAGAAUAAAUUGAUAUAGCAAAUUUAUGGGAUUUUUAAGCUCUCAUAAUAUGUUAUCUUAGAGGAUCUUUCUCUAUCUUAUACCUUAUUUUUGUUUUUUACCUUCUCAUAUGAUGGUUUAUAUUUUAAAACCAAAACGACGUUAAGUUCCCCGCUAGCCUAUAAAUUUUUUGGCCACUGGGGGAUAUCUGACUUUUGCAAGUACUAUUUAUCCUGGUGAAUAAGGUUAUAUUUGUACUUCUUGUGAGUAGUACUGACAGUUGAACUAUUGAGUAGAGUAUCCUGAAGGAGCAAGCCUGAAUAUAUCCAUCCAAUUGUGCGAAUAUGGCAUACAUCUGAAACUAUCAUUAGUUGGAAUCUAUUGGAAAUAUGGCAUUCGUCCAAAACUUGGAAAUGGAAUAUAUCUUGAGGCAAGGGUUAUUACACAGNNNNN
rnacentral:lncRNA from 1 species